rnacentral:lncRNA from 10 species
AUACCUUGACUAUGAAUAAUAGUUUCAAUAAGGAAGACAGAAUGAGUUCUGACACGAUGGUUGGGAGCUGUGACAGGCAGACGAAAAAUGGAGCCAAAUGGCAUGGAGGUUGGUGAUACAGACUUGCUGGUCCUCGUGAACGUGCUGGUGAUUUGGACUCCAAGGGCAAUCUGUCUGUCAGUUUUGACAGUAUUGUCUAGUCUCAGUGAGAGAUGGAAGGAAGACCACUGAGAUUUCUCUGAGUCUGAAAAUAGAUACUCUUCUUAGCAUUCAAAUUUGCUUUGAAGGAGCAUUCUUCACAUGCCCAUGGUCAGGAACAGUUUAAGUAGUGUUAGGAUCCAAAAAGUUGAUUGGAUUUCCCCGCCUCUCUUCACAGUCUAUAUUUAGGCCCCAGCCUAUCAAAAAUAUUUAAGAGGAGUAUUUGGCAUAUUUCUGAAAUGUUAUUUUUGAAAUAUUAUGCUGAGCAUUUAAGCAAAUGAACGACACAGGGACAGCUUUGGGCAAUGCUAUGAGUGGGUCUCCAGCACCCCUUUCUCUUCAUUAGUGUUCUCAAGCUGAUCUCUGGUUGCUUAGAGCUCUUCACAGAGGACUUCAUCAGGACUGGCCUUCAAAAUCCCUGCUGCUAAGCCUUUCCUUUCCCAGAUCCCAUAUCAGAUUGUCAUGUUCCUAGAGGACUGAACAUAGUCAGUGGUCUAAUAAAUAAUAAUGAUAGAUAUGGUUUAUUGAGUGCCUGGCAUGGUGCUUUUCAUACAUUAUCUCAUUUUAUUCUCACAACAGUUUUGGAAGUAUUACUAUCCCUCUUUACAAAUGAGGAGAGACUGAAACACCAAGACUGUCAUUAAGUUGGAUAAACGUCAUGCAGCUUGUAAGUGCCAGAGAUAGAAUAGGACCACAGGUCUCUCUCAUAAUGUACACGCCUGCUAAUAAUACUUUCAAUCCCUUAAUUCUGAGGAAUGAUUUCCAAUGGGCAUUUCAGGAAUUAAGGCAAGCUCUCAGAGGCUCUAUCGUUGAUAAGGGCUUUAUUUCAGUGGGGCCUUAUUCUCUUAAACCUGCUUUUGAAGGAAGUAAGCUCUUUGCAAAGCUCUUGUUAGCAGAAAAAAACCACAUGUCUUAAUUCAAAAUGUUAUUUGAAAUCUCACAAUCUGUAUUUUUAAAAAUAAUGGAAGGCAGGUGAACUGUUUGUCUUCAAAAGGUUUAUUUUACACACCAACUCUUUACUGCCUCUCAAUAAACGUUACUUAAUUACAAUGUGUUAAAAAGAAUGAAGCAGAAGUAUGGUCUGUAAAAAUAUUUGUUAUCUUUUGCUUUUUUCGUUUCCUGAUUCUGAGGAACUCUGAGCGGUUGUUUGUCAAACUGCUUUGUACCUGCCUGAGCACAAAGGCCCUUUUGCUGGGCUGGGCCCCAUGCAGAAUGGUGAAGUGGCUGAAGUUUGAAAAGCAGCACACUCCUCUCAGUGCUCCCAGCUUCCUCCUCUCCACUCAUUUCCCUGCCUCUUUUAUAUUUUGUUCAAAAUAAAAUAAAAUGCAAAGAAGACAAACUUUUCUCUUCCUCUCACUCAAGAAGGGAUCUUCAGACACAUUUUUAUGUGAUUGAAAGUAAAUGUAAUUUCCGGGUAUUGACAUUUUCAACUACAUUUCGAAUCACAAAACCGAAGAUUAUUUUUCCUGGUAGAAGGAAUUCCAGGUUGAGAAACCUGAGGAGUGAGG